UAGCUUGCUAUUUUUAUGAAGAGCGGCGAACGGGUGAGUAACGCGUGGGAAAUCUGCCGAGUAGCGGGGGACAACGUUUGGAAACGAACGCUAAUACCGCAUAACAAUGAGAAUCGCAUGAUUCUUAUUUAAAAGAAGCAAUUGCUUCACUACUUGAUGAUCCCGCGUUGUAUUAGCUAGUUGGUAGUGUAAAGGACUACCAAGGCGAUGAUACAUAGCCGACCUGAGAGGGUGAUCGGCCACACUGGGACUGAGACACGGCCCAGACUCCUACGGGAGGCAGCAGUAGGGAAUCUUCGGCAAUGGGGGCAACCCUGACCGAGCAACGCCGCGUGAGUGAAGAAGGUUUUCGGAUCGUAAAACUCUGUUGUUAGAGAAGAACGUUAAGUAGAGUGGAAAAUUACUUAAGUGACGGUAUCUAACCAGAAAGGGACGGCUAACUACGUGCCAGCAGCCGCGGUAAUACGUAGGUCCCAAGCGUUGUCCGGAUUUAUUGGGCGUAAAGCGAGCGCAGGUGGUUUCUUAAGUCUGAUGUAAAAGGCAGUGGCUCAACCAUUGUGUGCAUUGGAAACUGGGAGACUUGAGUGCAGGAGAGGAGAGUGGAAUUCCAUG
rnacentral:rRNA from 1 species